AUUGAACGCUGGCGGCAGGCCUAACACAUGCCAGUCGAACGGUAACAGGAAGCAGCUUGCUGCUUUGCUGACGAGUGGCGGACGGGUGAGUAAUGUCUGGGAAACUGCCCGAUGGAGGGGGAUAACUACUGGAAACGGUAGCUAAUACCGCAUAACGUCGCAAGACCAAAGAGGGGGACCUUAGGGCCUCUUGCCAUCGGAUGUGCCCAGAUGGGAUUAGCUAGUAGGUGGGGUAACGGCUCACCUAGGCGACGAUCCCUAGCUGGUCUGAGAGGAUGACCAGCCACACUGGAACUGAGACACGGUCCAGACUCCUACGGGAGGCAGCAGUGGGGAAUAUUGCCCAAUGGGCGCAAGCCUGAUGCAGCCAUGCCGCGUGUAUGAAGAAGGCCUUCGGGUUGUAAAGUACUGUCAGCGGGGAGGAAGGGAGUAAAGUUAAUACCUUUGCUCAUUGACGUUACCCGCAGAAGAAGCACCGGCUAACUCCGUG
rnacentral:rRNA from 1 species